AUAUAUAUAUAUAUAUAUAUAUAUAUAUAUAUAGUGUGUGUGUUUAUGUGUAUAUAUAUUUAUAUAUAUAUUUAAACACGCUGUAUAUGCUAUAAUGAAUUAUACGCAGGCAUGUUGCGUUCGCAUACCUAUUAAAAUCAAUUAUACGCACAGAAAUACAAUCAUAAGUCCCAAAAUAUCACACACACAGAAAUGCACUUAAACACAUGCAUGCUGUAAGCUUAGCUGCACACAAACACAAUUCACCCACACACAUAAUCAAACAGGCACCUAAGUAUAUACACGAAUAUGUACAUAUAUAUACACCAACUGUUUUAUACUCCUGUUAUGACAAUCACGUGUUUGACGUUACCAUGGAUAUUACAAUAUGAAUAAAAUCGAUAAUCGGAAGUGGUGAAGAGGCCGGAAGUUUGAGAGAAGCAAUUGGAUAACUUACAUAUGGAAGCAGCCCUUCUCCAUUUGGGGUGAAGUAUCUCCUGGAUAUAUCAUCGUGAGAUUGUAUCAAGACGAAGACAACAUCUGAAGCCAUCAACACAUCAGAGGAAGAGACAAACAGACAGACACGAAGAACGAGAGAAAAAUAAAACGAAAGGAGAAUAAUUAUAACAACGACAGCAACAACAACCACAAUAACAACAGCAGCAAGUACAACAACACGUCUCACAACAAACCUGACACCAAAUCGUGUUUGGGAAAGGGCAGUUUGCGCCCAAAAGGGAGUAGGAGUAAGAAGAGGAGGAGGCAGAAGAAGAAGAAGAAGAGUAGAAGGAGUUUAUUUAUUAGUCAAAAGAGAGAUGGUUUUUCAAUUAGAUAAGAGUGAACAGCAUUAUUACAUACAUAUUUAUUAUAUACGAUCUAUAAAGCAGUGUACAUAGAUAUUUAUACAUACAGUAAUAUAAAAAGUCUCUAUAAAUAAACACAUAUAUAUAGUAUAUAUUUAUUAUAUAUAUAUAUUAUAUAUGUAGAAAGAAA